CAGUGAUGCCCAGCAGAACAUCUCUUCCUUCUUAGUCAGAUGUCCCUUGGGAGUAGUUGUGCAAGGUUAAUUCUUUGCCUGGUAGAAGACUGUGGUGCAUUUUGGAUUAUAUUUUGUCUGUGAGAUCUUAGGUUGGUUCUUCAGAUGUUAGCCUUCUACUGGGGCAAUAUUUCUUUUUCUGUGUUUAUUUGUUGUUAUUGACUUCUAAUAUAAUUGCAUUGUUGUCAAAAGAUGUGGUCUGCGUGAUUGUAGUUCUUUGAUAUUUGUUGAGACUUUCAUUAUGGUCUAGUUUUAGUUAAAUUUUAUAAAUAUUCUUCAUAUGCUUGAGGAUAAUAUGUAUUCUGUAAUUUAAAUAUAUAUUAAAUUAGCCUUGAUAACCAUCCUGGUCUUCUGUAGCUUUAUUAAGUAAUUUUUUUGGUCUGCCUGAACUACCAAUACAUAAAAGAAAUGUAUUAAUCUCCCACUACAA
rnacentral:lncRNA from 1 species